ensembl:lncRNA
CAGAAAGCCAACAGAGCCACUCAAACAGUAUUGUGACUGAGACAAUAUCUAUGUUGACUUUUUAACCGACAUUCCAAACUAUAAAAUUAUAAAAAUCCAUACUUAUUAAAAGAACGUAUUUGAGUUUUCCAAAGUUUGAGGAACUCUGCUUAGGAGCCUGUGAGGUGGUUCUGUCAUUUGUGAAAGCCAACAGAGGUCUCAGGCCUCCCGGCAAUGCGCAUGUCUCCAAGCCGAAGGACUUGAUCUAACCACAGUGAGGCUUCUUCAGCUCCCAUUCUUAUAUAAAAUCGCUGAACAUUGGCCGAAGUUUUUCUGAAGCCCCUCAAGCCUCAGAGUGAAGAAGGGAGGGAAUGCUGGAUAAAAAUAGACUGGCCAACCUGUUCAUAUCAGGACAAAGAGGACAUGAUCGAUAGUAGAUUGUCCUCCAUCCUUGCAGUUACCCACAUAUGUUGAACUUGAUUGACUGAAGAAACAGAUGCCCCUGAGUGCCUGGAGACAGGGCAAAUCUGGAAUGUCUGGUGACUGGCUGGCUGUCAAAGGAUGAGGGGAAAAGCUCAAAGGGUCCUCUGAAGAUCAAAACUGAAGCAACAGGAGACCCCAUCUGAUGGUAGCAAUUAAAGUCGACAAAUUGUUCAACACCUAACUUACGUGUCUAUGCUUUUACCAAUAACAAAUAACAAAUGAAAAUAAGGAAUACGUGAAUAUACAGGAAUAACAGAGCAGAAAACAAGUCUUUCCCGACACUCGUCAUCUGUCAAGUGCAGGUCCAGGACAGAGAGUGGAAGUCUGGGGAGGAGCGGGACAACAGCAUAAAAGUCCAAGUACUAAGGGGGAAAUUACGACUUACAGGUGGAGACAUUGAACAGACACUGACUUGACCGGGUGCUUGUGGUGAACAUCACCAGCGCUUGCUACACCCAGACAGGAGGGCACUACCAUUCCCAAGGGUUUCCUGCAAAGAACGCAUGGUUCAACAUUAGCCUGACCAGGCAUGGGCAUUCUUGCAAAGACAGACUCUGAAAGUUAAAAAAGACUCAGGAAAAGAUUGGUGAGACUUGAAAGCAAAAUGUUUUGGACAGUUCUGUAACUCAGAGCCAGAAAAGAGACAAUAUUGGAGCAGUUUACAAAAUACACUAGAUAUGUGACUUAGGUGACAGUGACCUAAGGGAGUGUCCUACAUGGCUUUUUGUCAGACAAGAUCUAGAAGAACCUCACUGGAGAAAAUGCCUCUAUCAGACUGCCUACAGCAAAGCCUGUAGAGCAUUUCUUGAUUGGUGAUUAAUGUGGGAAGACCCAGAUCACCGUGGGUGGUGCACUCUUGGGCAGGUGAUCCUGAGUUGUACAAAAAAGAAAACUGGCCAAGUCAUGGGGCACAAGCCAGUAAACAGCAUUUCUCCAUGAUCUCUACUUCAGUUCCGGCCUCCAUGCUCCUGUUUGAGGUCCUGCCCUGACUUCCCUAAGUGAUGGAUUAUGACCUGAGAGUGGUGAACUGAAAUAAACCUUUUCCUUCCCAAGUUACUUUUGGCCAUGGUGUUUAUCAUAGCAAUAGAAAGCAAGCUAAGACAAGGUUCAUUUAGUGAUUGGUUACAUGGCCACACACUAACUUUAGGGGAACCCACACUGGAAAUGUAUAGCUACAUAGUAACAUCAAAUGGCUUAGAAGACUGAUGACAUAUAUACAAACAAUUCAGCAUGUAAGAUAUAGUAAAUAUAAUCAUAUUAUGUGUUCACGUAGCACCUAUUUUCCGUAGUUUUAUGUUUUAUAUCUUACAUGACAGGUGAUACAGGUUUUGUAUAGUAGCUACUGUAAGUAUACUGUUCUGUGCAUUUUCAUAUAUUUAGAAAGAGAAAAAAAGAAGGAACCAAU